rnacentral:rRNA from 1 species
UACAGAGGUCUCAAGCGUUUGUUCGGAUUCAUUGGGCGUAAAGGGUGCGUAGGCGGCGCGGUAAGUCGGGUGUGAAAUCUUGGAGCUUAACUCCGAAACUGCAUUCGAUACUGCCGUGCUUGAGGACUGGAGAGGAGACUGGAAUUUACGGUGUAGCGGUGAAAUGCGUAGAUAUCGUAAGGAAGACCAGUGGCGAAAGGCGGGUCUCUGGACAGUUCCUGACGUGAGGCACGAAGGCCAGGGGAGCAAACGGGG